UGGCCGGGAUAGCUCAGCUGGUAGAGCAGAGGACUGAGAUCC
rnacentral:tRNA from 1 species